rnacentral:rRNA from 1 species
UACGGAGGAUGCAAGCGUUAUCCGGAAUGAUUGGGCGUAAAGCGUCCGCAGGUGGUUAUGUAAGUCUGCUGUUAAAGAGUCUAGCUCAACUAGAUAAGAGCAGUGGAAACUACAAGGCUAGAGUACGUUCGGGGCAGAGGGAAUUCCUGGUGUAGCGGUGAAAUGCGUAGAGAUCAGGAAGAACACCAGUGGCGAAGGCGCUCUGCUAGGCCGUAACUGACACUGAGGGACGAAAGCUAGGGGAGCGAAUGGG